rnacentral:rRNA from 1 species
GAUGAACGCUAGCUACAGGCUUAACACAUGCAAGUCGAGGGGAAACGACAUCGAAAGCUUGCUUUUGAUGGGCGUCGACCGGCGCACGGGUGAGUAACGCGUAUCCAACCUGCCCACCACUUGGGGAUAACCUUGCGAAAGUAAGACUAAUACCCAAUGACGUCUCUAGAAGACAUCUGAAAGAGAUUAAAGAUUUAUCGGUGAUGGAUGGGGAUGCGUCUGAUUAGCUUGUUGGCGGGGUAACGGCCCACCAAGGCGACGAUCAGUAGGGGUUAUGAGAGGAAGGACCCCCACAUUGGAACUGAAACACGGUCCAAACUCCUACGGGAGGCAGCAGUGAGGAAUAUUGGUCAAUGGGCGAGAGCCUGAACCAGCCAAGUAGCGUGCAGGAUGACGGCCCUAUGGGUUGUAAACUGCUUUUAUAAGGGAAUAAAGUGAGUCUCGUGAGACUUUUUGCAUGUACCUUAUGAAUAAGGACCGGCUAAUUCCGUGCCAGCCGCCGCGGUAA